AUAGAAUAAAGCUGUUGCGCUUAUAUAAGUUCAUAAUCGGUUGAGCGUUUCUACCAACUACCAUAAUAGUUGACUAUAAGGGUUAAAAGGAAAAAG
rfam:Clostridium saccharolyticum WM1, complete genome.